GACUUCUGGUUUAAUGCACCUGGCCCGCGGCCGUAAGGCCUGUGAGUGCCGGCGCGCGUUUACCAUCCUUCUAGAAAACGGGUCUUCCCUUAACUGGGCCGGAUUCGAGAUCUAGAUCAUUUACUUUGAAAAAAUUAGAGUGUUUAAAGCAGGCUAUUGCUAUGAAUACAUUAGCAUGGAAUAAUAAUAUAGGACUUUGGUUCUAUUUUGUUGGUUUCUAGGACUAAAGUAAUGAUUGAUAGGGAUAGUUGGGGGUGCUAGUAUUCAGAGGCCAGAGGUGAAAUUCUUGGAUUCUCUGAAGACUAACUACUGCGAAAGCAUU
rnacentral:rRNA from 1 species